rnacentral:rRNA from 1 species
CGCCCUUACGGGAGGCAGCAGCAAGGAAUCUUCCGCAAUGGGGGCAACCCUGACGGAGCGACGCCGCGUGCGGGAGGAAGCCCUUCGGGGUGUAAACCGCUGUUCGGGGGGACGAUCGAGCGACGGUACCCUCGGAGCAAGUCCCGGCUAACUACGUGCCAGCAGCCGCGGUAAGACGUAGGGGGCGAGCGUUACCCGGAGUCACUGGGCGUAAAGGGCGUGUAGGCGGCUGGGUACGCCGCGUGUGAAAGUCCCCGGCUCAACCGGGGAGGGUCGCGCGGGACGGCCUGGCUCGAGGGCGGGAGAGGCGGGUGGAAUUCCCCGUGUAGCGGUGAAAUGCGUAGAGAUCGGGAGGAACGCCGGUGGCGAAGGCGGCCCGCUGGCCCGUACCUGACGCUGAGGCGCGAAGGCGUGGGGAGCGAACCGGAUUAGAUACCCGGGUAGUCCACGGAGUAAACGAUGCGGGCGAGGUGUGGGUGGUGUUGACCCCAUCCGUGCCGGCGCCAACGCAGUAAGGCCGCCGCCUGGGGAGUACGGCCGCAAGCUAAAACUCAAAGGAAUUUACGGGGGCCGCACAAGCAGCGGAGUUGUGG